GACGAACCGUGCAAACGUUGUUCGGAAUCACUGGGCUUAAAGGGCGCGUAGGCGGUCGACCAAGUCCGGGGUGAAAUCUUUCGGCUUAACCGGAAAAGUGCCUUGGAUACUGGCCGGCUGGAGGGAGGUAGGGGCAGGUGGAACUUCCAGUGGAGCGGUGAAAUGCGUUGAUAUUGGAAGGAACGCCGGUGGCGAAAGCGACCUGCUGGACCUCUUCUGACGCUGAGGCGCGAAAGCGUGGGGAGCAAACAGG
rnacentral:rRNA from 1 species